rnacentral:lncRNA from 1 species
GGGACAACCUUUCAAGAGUCGCAGAUCCCGUUUUUUCCUGAAGCAAUCAAUGUAAUGACCCCCUUGUUGGUGGGGAUGUUGUAACUGUGAGUGGCGUCAUUGUUGUACAAGAAUUUUUUGAGGCAGAGAUGGCAGACGAAAGAAAUCUUUCCUUAACCUCCUCUUCUGGCCUUCAAACAACCCCUAAACUCUUCAAGCUCAUAAUCAGAAGCAAGCUCCCCACAGAUCAGGACACACCAGCUCAAUGCGGCAGCAGACCCUGCCAGAACACCAAAAGCAAAACCUUCAGGUGAUGGUAUUUCCCUGGGGGAUGCUGAUGACAUUUUGAAGCAGUUUCCAGCUAAAGAUGGCAGAAGGCCCACCUCUGUUGACACAGUAGCGACAGACCCCUGGCUGCGACCUGGAACAUCAGAGAACCUAAAAAGAUUUAUGGCUGGGCAGUCAAACCAGGCUAAACUUCCUUCUGAAAACACAUUACCCUUUAGUUGGCAGGGCCUGUCAACUGCACAUGGUUGAAUAAAGCUAUAUUGAAACCGACUGUGCCUUUAAUCAUAGAAAGAAUGUUAAUCACUAUUGCACUUUUCACAUGUUCAUUUUGUUUUCUUGUAAGGAGUCUUAUAUAAAUAUUGUGAGCUAUAUUUAUAAGAUUUCUUUUUAAAUGAAGUAUUAAAGGAACAGAAGCUGUAAAGUAAAUGAUUUCUUUAAAAGGGAAAGCAGACUGUUACAGGAUAUUUUAUUAUACUAAGGAAGGGAAGUGGAGGUAUUUUUGCACUCUUUCUAUAAGUUAAACUGGUCAGCAUGUUACAGUCAUAGAUUUGAUGCUUGUGUGUAUGUAGUAUUUGAUAGAAAACUUUUAACAUGAAAACUAAGAAUCGGGAAUGAUUCUGCCAACAUAAUAGCAUAGACGGCAAAGCUGUAUUCCUUUUACUCUUUUGGCACUUCAAGUACUUCCAUGUGAUUUUUACCUCAGUGCAGCAGUAGCUAUUUAAAAACAGUGAUAAGAGAUUGCUGUUAUGUUCUGUAUUUGUUCAAUAUUCAUGAGCUACUGUUAUAGGAUCUAUAUGAACGAAAGAUUUAUUUAAACAGUUGACCUCUGCCGUUCCACUUACCAACAUUUUUGCUUUCUUUCCCUAAUCAGUUGUGUGCUAAAAUUCUAAUUAUACUUUUCUGCCUCUUACUUUGUUUUGUUGAUAAUGCAGGUACUGUUAUGAGUGAAUAGUGUUAAUAUUUAAUUUAUGGUCA